rnacentral:rRNA from 1 species
GAGUUUGAUCCUGGCUCAGAACGAACGCUGGCGGCGCGUCUUAAGCAUGCAAGUCGGAUGGCAAGGAGAUGGUUUACCAUCUCCCUAGAAUGGCGGACUGGUGAGUAACACGUGGGUGACAUACCCUUAGGACGGGGAUAGCUUCUAGAAAUAGAAGAUAAUACCGGAUACGACCACUACUGUCAGAGGGUAGUGAGGAAAGGGGCUACGGCCCCGCCUGAGGAAUGGCCCGCGGCCCAUUAGCUAGUUGGUGAGGUAAAGGCCCACCAAGGCGAUGAUGGGUAUCCGGCCUAAGAGGGUGAACGGACACAUUGGGACUGAGAUACGGCCCAGACUCCUACGGGAGGCAGCAGCUAAGAAUAUUCCGCAAUGGGCGAAAGCCUGACGGAGCGACGCCGCGUGGAUGAUGAAGGCCGUGAGGUUGUAAAGUCCUUUUGAACCUGACGAAUAAGUGCGGGAGGGAAUGCCCGCGCGGUGACGGUAGGGUUUGAAUAAGCAACGGCUAAUUACGUGCCAGCAGCCGCGGUAACACGUAAGUUGCGAGCGUUGUUCGGAAUUAUUGGGCGUAAAGGGUAUGUAGGCGGUCAUGCAAGCUUGAUGUGAAAUCCAUGGGCUCAACCCGUGAACUGCAUUGAGAACUAUGUGACUUGAGUUACCGAGGGGAAACCGGAAUUUCCAGGUGUAGGGGUGAAAUCUGUAGAUAUCUGGAAGAACACCGAUGGCGAAGGCAGGUUUCUAUUGGAUAACUGACGCUGAGGUACGAAGGUGCGGGGAGCAAACAGGAUUAGAUACCCUGGUAGUCCGCACAGUAAACGAUGUGCACUAGGUGUUUGCCUGAAAGGUGAGUGCCGCAGCUAACGUGGUAAGUGCACCGCCUGGGGAGUAUGCCCGCAAGGGUGAAACUCAAAGGAAUUGACGGGGGCCCGCACAAGCGGUGGAGCAUGUGGUUUAAUUCGAUGGUACGCGAGGAACCUUACCUGGGCUUGACAUAUGGGGGGAUUCGUCAGAGAUGACGGAGCGUAGCAAUACGGCCCCAUACAGGUGCUGCAUGGCUGUCGUCAGCUCGUGCCGUGAGGUGUUGGGUUAAGUCCCGCAACGAGCGCAACCCCUACUGCCAGUUACUAACAGGUGAUGCUGAGGACUCUGGCGGAACUGCCGGUGACAAACCGGAGGAAGGUGGGGAUGAUGUCAAGUCAUCAUGGCCCUUAUGUCCAGGGCUACACACGUGCUACAAUGGUCGGAACAGAGCGAGGCGAAGCAGCGAUGCGGAGCGAAGCGCAAAAAGCCGACCGUAGUUCGGAUCGGAGUCUGAAACCCGACUCCGUGAAGUUGGAAUCGCUAGUAAUCGCACAUCAGCACGGUGCGGUGAAUACGUUCCCGGGCCUUGUACACACCGCCCGUCACACCAUCCGAGUAGAGGGUACCCGAAGCCGGUAGUCUAACCCUUUUGGGAGGACGCUGUCGAAGGUAUGCUUUGUGAGGGGGGUGAAGUCGUAACAAGGUAGCCGUA